rnacentral:rRNA from 1 species
AUUGAACGCUGGCGGCAGGCCUAACACAUGCAAGUCGAGCGGUAGCACAGAGAGCUUGCUCUCGGGUGACGAGCGGCGGACGGGUGAGUAAUGUCUGGGAAACUGCCUGAUGGAGGGGGAUAACUACUGGAAACGGUAGCUAAUACCGCAUAAUGUCGCAAGACCAAAGUGGGGGACCUUCGGGCCUCAUGCCAUCAGAUGUGCCCAGAUGGGAUUAGCUAGUAGGUGGGGUAACGGCUCACCUAGGCGACGAUCCCUAGCUGGUCUGAGAGGAUGACCAGCCACACUGGAACUGAGACACGGUCCAGACUCCUACGGGAGGCAGCAGUGGGGAAUAUUGCACAAUGGGCGCAAGCCUGAUGCAGCCAUGCCGCGUGUGUGAAGAAGGCCUUCGGGUUGUAAAGCACUUUCAGCGGGGAGGAAGGCGGUGAGGUUAAUAACCUCAUCGAUUGACGUUACCCGCAGAAGAAGCACCGGCUAACUCCGUGCCAGCAGCCGCGGUAAUACGGAGGGUGCAAGCGUUAAUCGGAAUUACUGGGCGUAAAGCGCACGCAGGCGGUCUGUCAAGUCGGAUGUGAAAUCCCCGGGCUCAACCUGGGAACUGCAUUCGAAACUGGCAGGCUAGAGUCUUGUAGAGGGGGGUAGAAUUCCAGGUGUAGCGGUGAAAUGCGUAGAGAUCUGGAGGAAUACCGGUGGCGAAGGCGGCCCCCUGGACAAAGACUGACGCUCAGGUGCGAAAGCGUGGGGAGCAAACAGGAUUAGAUACCCUGGUAGUCCCCGCCGUAAACGAUGUCGAUUUGGAGGUUGUGCCCUUGAGGCGUGGCUUCCGGAGCUAACGCGUUAAAUCGACCGCCUGGGGAGUACGGCCGCAAGGUUAAAACUCAAAUGAAUUGACGGGGGCCCGCACAAGCGGUGGAGCAUGUGGUUUAAUUCGAUGCAACGCGAAGAACCUUACCUGGUCUUGACAUCCACAGAACUUUCCAGAGAUGGAUUGGUGCCUUCGGGAACUGUGAGACAGGUGCUGCAUGGCUGUCGUCAGCUCGUGUUGUGAAAUGUUGGGUUAAGUCCCGCAACGAGCGCAACCCUUAUCCUUUGUUGCCAGCGGUCCGGCCGGGAACUCAAAGGAGACUGCCAGUGAUAAACUGGAGGAAGGUGGGGAUGACGUCAAGUCAUCAUGGCCCUUACGACCAGGGCUACACACGUGCUACAAUGGCAUAUACAAAGAGAAGCGACCUCGCGAGAGCAAGCGGACCUCAUAAAGUAUGUCGUAGUCCGGAUUGGAGUCUGCAACUCGACUCCAUGAAGUCGGAAUCGCUAGUAAUCGUAGAUCAGAAUGCUACGGUGAAUACGUUCCCGGGCCU